AGGGAGGAGCUGAUCUGUUCCUGAUCUCUAAAGAGACUCAAACUUCCUCCUUCAGUUCAGUUCAACUCUCCAACAUUAACUCUGCUCAACAUGGACUAUUAUGGUCUGUCUCUGCUCAUCAUCUCUCUGCUAACAGGAGUCAGAUGCCAACAACUCACUGCGCUUCAGAAAGAAGAGUUCGCUGUAGAAAGCAGCAAAGUUACUCUGUCCUACACUUACUCCAAAACAGCCACUGGAAGUGAUUAUUUCUUCUGGUAUCGACAAUAUCCUGGAAAACCUCCACAGUUCCUGAUCUCUCACUCAGGAACAGGAACACAAACUUCUCAGCCGCUUCCUGGUUUCUCCUUCAACAUGAAUGCUGAUAAAACCCAGAUGGAUCUGCUGAUCUCCUCUGCUGCAGUGACAGACUCUGCUGUGUACAACUGCGCUGUGAAGCCCACAGUGACAGGAAACACCAGAACCCUGUACAAAAACCUGCAGUACUGUACAGCAGCCACUAGAGGGCUUCACUCCCUGUUAAACUACUGACUCAUGCAGUACUCCACAGCAGCCACUAGAGGGCCUCACUCCCUGUUCGGUUGUCUAAUGUUAGACCAAGCCAAACAUGGUUUUUCUCUUGUGCUGAUGAUCCUGACAGAUUGUUUUAGACUUUCUCAAUGUUUAUUAUCUUAUCUGCCAAAAAUCCCUUCCUAUUCUGUUUUUAGAAAUGAUAAUGAUGGAUUUUCAUUUCAUUUUUCUGCAGCUUAACAUUCAUCAAGCUGAACAGUCGCAUCGUUCCAUCACACACUAAGCAGAUGAAUAAAUGUAAGUACAUAUGAACAAUGAAAUGACUCCAAUUAAUUUAUGAACCAUCACCUGCUGUGGCCUGAAGGCAAAGUCUCACUCUUCUGUGUUCAAUCUAACGUCUAAUUGCUUCAGUGGCUCAUGAUGUUUUGGGCUUUUGCUCCUGGUUGAUUUGAUGAUCU